rnacentral:rRNA from 1 species
AUUGAACGCUGGCGGCAGGCCUAACACAUGCAAGUCGAACGAGUGGCGGACGGGUGAGUAAUGUCUGGGAAACUGCCUGAUGGAGGGGGAUAACUACUGGAAACGGUAGCUAAUACCGCAUACCAUCGGAUGUGCCCAUAUGGGAUUAGCUAGUAGGUGGGGUAAUGGCUCUCCUAGGCGACGAUCCCUAGCUGGUCUGAGAGGAUGACCAGCAACACGGGAACUGAGACACGGUGCAGACUCCUACGGGAGGAAGCAGUGGGGAAUAUGGCACAAUGGGCGCAAGCCUGAUGCAGCCAGGCCGCGUGUAUGAAGAGGGCCUGCGGGUUGUAAAGUACUUUCAGCGGGGAGGCGUUACGCGCAGAAGAAGCACCGGCUAACUCCGUGCCAGCAGCCGCGGUAAUAC